rnacentral:rRNA from 1 species
UACGUAGGGGCCUAGCGUUGUCCGGAAUUAUUGGGCGUAAAGAGCUCGUAGGCGGUUCGGCAAGUCGGAUGUGAAAUCUCCACGCUUAACGUGGAGGGGCCAUUCGAAACUGCUGUGACUCGAGUCCGGUAGGGGAGUGUGGAAUUCCCGGUGUAGCGGUGAAAUGCGCAGAUAUCGGGAGGAACACCCGUAGCGAAGGCGGCACUCUGGGCCGGUACUGACGCUGAGGAGCGAAAGCGUGGGGAGCGAACAGG